GAUCAUGGCUCAGGACGAACGCUGGCGGCGUGCCUAACACAUGCAAGUCGAACGAAGCUCUGCGAUACAAGACUUCGGUCAAGUUGAACGGAUGACUUAGUGGCGGGCGGGUGAGUAACGCGUGAGGAACCUGCCUUUCAGUGGGGGACGAACAGUUGGAAACGACUGCUAAUACCGCAUAAUGUAUUCUGACCGCCUGAUCGGAAUACCAAAGAUUUAUUGCUGAAAGAUGGCCUCG
rnacentral:rRNA from 1 species